AUUGAACGCUGGCGGCAGGCCUAACACAUGCAAGUCGAGCGGAGCGGCGGACGGGUGAGUAAUGCCUAGGAAUCUGCCUGGUAGUGGGGGUUAACGUCCGGAAACGGGCGCUAAUACCGCAUACUAUCAGAUGAGCCUAGGGCGGAUUAGGUAGGUGGUGGGGUAAAGGCCUACCCAGGCGACGCACCGUAACUGGUCUGAGAGGAUGAUCAGGCACACGGGAACUGAGACACGGUCCAGACGCCUACGGUAGGUAGCAGGGGGGAAUAUGGGACAAUGGGCGAAAGACUGAUCCAGCCAUGCCGCGUGUGUGAAGAAGGUCUUCGGAUUGUAAAGCACUCUAAGUUGGGAGGCGUUACUAACAGAAUAAGCACCGGCUAACUUCGUGCCAGCAGCCGCGGUAAUAC
rnacentral:rRNA from 1 species